rnacentral:rRNA from 1 species
UACGAAGGGGGCUAGCGUUGCUCGGAAUCACUGGGCGUAAAGCGCACGUAGGCGGAUUGUUAAGUCAGGGGUGAAAUCCUGGAGCUCAACUCCAGAACUGCCUUUGAUACUGGCGAUCUCGAGUCCGGGAGAGGUGAGUGGAACUGCGAGUGUAGAGGUGAAAUUCGUAGAUAUUCGCAAGAACACCAGGGGCGAAGGCGGCUCACUGGCCCGGUACUGACGCUGAGGUGCGAAAGCGGGGGGAGCAAACAGG